UGUGCCAGGGGUUCGGCAAAGGCUCCUACAGGUGGCAGGACUUGGCUCUGAUGUCGGUUCAGGAGGCGGCCGAGGCCUUCUUGGUGUUGCUCUUGUCUGACGCCAACCUGUGCGCCAUCCACGCCAAGCGGGUCACCGUGUUGCCCCGCGACAUCCAGCUGGCCCGACGUAUCCGCGGGGGCCCAGACACUGUCUGAGCAAGAUGGCCACUGCGCCGUUGGACACUUGUUUACAUUUCGUCUUGUUGAUGUUUCUGUGUUCUAAUAGAGUUCUUGUUAUGACUGGAUCGUUGCUUGGCCCCGCCCACUAUUUCUCCUGGCAGACGACGUGAUAACUUAACUUUUCAGAUGCAAUGUUAAAGGGGACAAUGUAAAUUUGGGGAGAGCUAUUGUGUGUAUCGGCACAAAAACGUAGACGCACACUAGAGGACCCGCUGACCGACGAUGACCUGGGCUCAACCUCUAUACGUGUACGCAAAUCAGUCGUGGUUCUCCAAAAUGUGCAAUUUUGAACCCAAAAUAGGCUAUUUACUGUAACUUCAAUUUGAGAGGUCUUUACUCUAUCUUCCAGUCAGUUUUAGAAUAUAUUUUAAAGUUAGCACAACUGGUCCAUAAAUCACGAAAUGGUUUCGGUCCUGAAAACAUGAAAGAAAAUGCAAAUGGUAUACAAACCCAGUGGGGCUCUGAGAUUGACUGACUCAGGUCUAAUAAUGGAGUGCACAGUCCAAAGCAAACAUGGUGAAGCAGCAUUUAGCAAGUAUGUUGCAAUAAUGAAAAAAAAUUGAAUAUGUUGUGUACCACAUGGAAAAAAAUAGACUCAUAAGAGGUCACGGGGAGGGCUGGAGCAUAUCCCAGCUGUCAAUGGGCAGGAGGUGGGGGACACCGUGAACUGGUUGCCAGCCAGUCUCAGGGCACAUGGAGACACAACAGUGACACUCAAAAUCACAACUCGGUGUUCUUUGGGAUGUGGGAGGAAAAUGGAGUGCCCACAGAAAACCCACACAGAUACGCGGAGAACAUGCAAACUCCAAACAGGCGGGGCCAGGAUCGAACCCGAGUGCUCAUAAGCAUGAGGCCAAUGCUUCACCAGCUGAUCCACCGUGCCGUACAGGUAGGUUGUCAUCAACAAAAACUCACCAUCGACAUUAACGCACAUGCAUGAAUAAACCCAGGCGCCAACAUGAAAUCCUCUCACAGCUGCCGAGGAUCAAAAUUUUGGGAUAUGUGCACGUUUAUAAACAUGAACAUAACAGUGCAGCAUGUCUCUGUGUUGUAAUUGGUUAACGCGGUCGGCGGUUAACUGACAAGUGUGUUGGUCCAAAACCACCCAGGGAUGUCUCCACAAUGUGAAUUUACCUGGCUUUUGUAGUACAGUAUGUCAGUAGAUGAAAAGUACAGCUCAUCAUGUCUCUGUGGCACAAUUGGUCAUCCCUGUUAACGGAGUGGUCUGUGGUUCGACCCCACCCAGGGAUGUCUCCGCUAUUUAACAUUUCCCGGCUUUUGGAGGAUGUGACUAGAUCAAAAGCCCGGAAAAGUACUGCUGUGGGUUUUAUUUAGAGUGAGGUCAACAAUGAUCUCGGGUCCCUAAAUCGAUCGCAAUACAGCACAAGAUGCGCAAUUUCCCUGAGCCCAUCGGCAUACAGAGAACAAUGCACAUUCAUACACUGCUUCACUGUAAAAAAAAAAAAAAAAAGCACAACAACAACAAGAAAGUGCAAUAGUGAGGUCGUGUAAUGUGAACCACGUUGCACCAAGGGAAUACUUUUAUUUGCUCAUGACAGCUAUUGGGAGCAGAGUCAACAUUUGACCUGCAAAUAGAUAGUUAACGCAUGUAAUGUAAUUUCAAUAAGUUUUACAUAAUAUCAUGAACUUGAAUGAAAAAUAAGAAAAAAUGGAAAAGGGAACCAAUGACCUUAUUGGGUGUUGUCAAAUGAAAAUACUCUGCAGAAAUUUUCCUCUUUCUUGACUGCUCUAUUUAAUCUACAAACCGACACAAAGUGAAAAUAUGGAUCAAAAAAUUGCACACAACAACUGAAUUCUCCUCCUUCUCCGGCACAAAAGCAGAUGUGUCGCUUUUGAGGAACACAUUUUGCCACAUUUGCACAGGCUGUACCCUGCCUCCUGCUCAUUGACAGCUAGGAUAGACCCUCGUGAGGAUAAGCGGCUCAAAAAAUAGAUAAUAGGAUUGGUUGUUCUCAAGUUUGAAGGAAGUGGGUUGGGACAUUGCACGUUGCGGGUGAUCAAUUGAGAACAACUGGAGAACGCUUCAUUGACUUCAUGCCAAACAUCGCCAAGUUUGUCAUGCGCAAUAGGCCUCACUAGGUGGCAGUAUUGUAUUGAGCUGAACAUCCAACUGUUGGAAAAGGAACUCUUGUCAGUUCCAGUCGAACACCGAGAUUCGAUUUAAGAACCCAAGUGGGCUUCAAUUUGAGAUCACAAACUGAAGGCUGAAUAUUCACCACCAGCCUUUUCUUGUAAAGAGCAGAAUUCAUGGUUCUGCGUUUAACAGUCAUCCCUGAACUUCUCUCCUCCAAACUUCUCC